rnacentral:rRNA from 1 species
GGGGAAUCUUCCGCAAUGGACGAAAGUCUGACGGAGCAACGCCGCGUGAGUGAUGACGGCCUUCGGGUUGUAAAGCUCUGUUAAUCGGGACGAAAGGUCUUCUUGCGAAUAGUUAGAAGAAUUGACGGUACCGGAAUAGAAAGCCACGGCUAACUACGUGCCAGCAGCCGCGGUAAUACGUAGGUGGCAAGCGUUGUCCGGAAUUAUUGGGCGUAAAGCGCGCGCAGGCGGAUUGGUCAGUCUGUCUUAAAAGUUCGGGGCUUAACCCCGUGAUGGGAUGGAAACUGCCAAUCUAGAGUAUCGGAGAGGAAAGUGGAAUUCCUAGUGUAGCGGUGAAAUGCGUAGAUAUUAGGAAGAACACCAGUGGCGAAGGCGACUUUCUGGACGAAAACUGACGCUGAGGCGCGAAAGCCAGGGGAGCGAACGGGAUUAGAUACCCCGGUAGUCCGGGCCGUAAACGAUGGGUACUAGGUGUAGGAGGUAUCGACCCCUUCUGUGCCGGAGUUAACGCAAUAAGUACCCCGCCUGGGGAGUACGACCGCAAGGUUG